UGAGGAAUAUUGGGCAAUGCCCGCAAGGGUGACCCAGCAACGCUGCGUGGAGGAUGAAUGUCGUAAGAUUGUAAACUCCUGUUAGAGGGGAAGAAUAGUACCGGUUGGACCGGUAUAUGACUGUACCCUCAGAGAAAGCCCCGGCUAACUACGUGCCAGCAGCCGCGGUAAUACGUAGGGGGCAAGCGUUGUCCGGAUUUACUGGGUGUAAAGGGCGCGCAGGCGGGAUAAAAAGUCAAUGGUGAAAUCCUACAGCUUAACUGUAGAACUGCCUUUGAUACUUUUAUUCUUGAGUUCGGGAGAGAGAGACGGAAUUCCAGGUGUAGUGGUGAAAUACGUAGAUAUCUGGAAGAACACCAGUUGCGAAGGCGGUCUCUUGAUCCGACACUGACGCUGAGGCGCGAAAGCGUGGGGAGCAAACA
rnacentral:rRNA from 1 species